UCUUGCACAAUGGGGGAAACCCUGAUGCAGCGCCGCCGCGUCAGCGAAGAAGUAUCUCGGUAUGUAAAGCUCUAUCAGCAGGGAAGAAGAUGACGGUACCUGACUAACAAGCUCCGGCUAAAUACGUGCCAGCAGCCGCGGUAAUACGUAUGGAGCAAGCGUUAACCGGAUUUACUGGGUGUAAAGGGAGCGUAGGCGGCCUGGCAAGUCUGGUGUGAAAUACCGGGGCCCAGCCCCGGGACUGCAUUGGAAACUGCCAGGCUGGAGUGUCGGAGGGGCAGGCGGAAUUCCUAGUGUAGCGGUGAAAUGCGUAGAUAUUAGGAGGAACACCGGUGGCGAAGGCGGCCUGCUGGACGACAACUGACGCUGAGGCUCGAAAGCGUGGGGAGCAAACAGG
rnacentral:rRNA from 1 species